rnacentral:rRNA from 1 species
UUCGGGAAAGUAUAAAGUGGCGUACGGGUGAGUAACACGUAAGUAAUCUACCUUCGAGUGGGGAAUAACAGUCAGGAAACGACUGCUAAUACCGCAUAAUGCAGCGGCACCUAAUGGUGACAGUUGUUAAAGCAUUUAUGCGCUUGAAGAGGAGCUUGCGGCAGAUUAGCUAGUUGGUAAGGUAAUGGCUUACCAAGGCAACGAUCUGUAUCCGGUCUAAGAGGACGGUCGGACACACUGACACUGAAUAACGGGUCAGACUCCUACGGGAGGCAGCAGUCGGGAAUUUUGGGCAAUGGGCGAAAGCCUGACCCAGCAACGCCGCGUGAAGGAUGAAGUCUUUCGGGAUGUAAACUUCAUAAGAAUAGGAAGAAUAAAUGACGGUACUAUUUGUAAGGUCCGGCUAACUACGUGCCAGCAGCCGCGGUAAUACGUAGGGACCAAGCGUUGUUCGGAUUUACUGGGCGUAAAGGGCGCGUAGGCGGCGUGUUAAGUCAGCUGUGAAAUCUCCAAGCUUAACUUGGAACGGUCAGCUGAUACUGAUGUGCUAGAGUGCAGAAGGGGCAACCGGAAUUCUUGGUGUAGCGGUGAAAUGCGUAGAUAUCAAGAGGAACACCUGAGGUGAA